CUAGCAAGCCUGGCAAAUUCAUUUCUGGAAAAAACCAAAGAGAACCCAUGAAACUCUCCUUCUCUCUCCCUCCCAAAUCCUCCAAGUCAAACCCUAAACGCAACCCCUCCUCCGCCACCGCCAACUUCGACGACGGCACCGGAAACAACGCAAACGACGCCGCUUCCAAGCACUUCGUCAGCGAAUUCGAUGCUUCAAAACCCCUAUCCGCCGACCCUAAAGCCCGCGUGAUCGCCCCGAUCCCCAACGAAUGGCGGCCCCACAAGAAGAUGAAGAACAUGGAGCUCCCCAUCACCGAGCCCAACGGCGACGAGCUCCAGUUCGAGGUCGAGACGCUCUCGGUCAACGACGACCCCGACGCCAAGAUUUCGUAUGGUCUCAAUCUUCGGGAGAAAUCGGAAUCCGAGAAUCGGGAGAGGUUGGGGAACGAUGAGCGGCCGAGAUCGAGAGGCGUGGAGGAUACGCUGCUGCAGAAGUUAAAAGACGAUUUGGAGCGGUUGUCGGAUCAUAGGGGGUUGGAGGAGUACGAAGAGAUGCCGGUGGAGGGUUACGGCGAGGCGUUGCUUACCGGGUACGGGUGGUACCCGGGUAGAGGAAUUGGGAAGAAUGCGAAGGAAGAUGUGAAAAUUGUGGAGUAUACUCGGAGUACUGAUAAGCACGGGUUAGGGUUUCUUGCAAAUUCGAAAGAGAAGGAUAGAAAGAAUUCCAAAGAGAAGGAGAAGAGAAAAGAAGGCGAUGUGGGGAAGGAAGUUAGGAUCGUUGCGGGUCGAGACUAUGUGGGUUUGAGAGGUAGGAUUUUGGAGAAAUUGGGUAAUGGGAAACUGGUUUUGAAGCUGUUGAGUAAGAGCAAGGGGCAAGAUGAAGAGGUAGUAAAAGUGAAUGUGGAUGAAGUUGCGGAAUUGGGUUCGAAAGAAGAAGAGAAGUGCUUGAGGAGAUUGAAUGAGACAAAAAGGAAAGUGGGCAGUGAUAGUAAGCCCAGACGAGAGGAGCCGAGGGGUUAUUCGACGUGGCUUGUGAGGAACAUUCGGGUCAGGGUUAUUAGCAAGGACUUGAAAGGUGGGAAAUUGUAUUUGAGAAAAGGAGAGGUGAUGGAUGUUGUUGGACCCUACACCUGUGAUAUAUCUAUGGAUGGGAGUAGGGAGCUUGUGCAGGGGGUGUCCCAGGAUUUUCUUGAGACUGCCCUGCCAAGGCGUGGCGGACCGGUUCUUGUGUUAUCUGGGAAGCAUAAGGGGGUCUAUGGUAGUCUUGUGGAGAAGGAUUCUGACAGAGAGACUGGUGUUGUCAAGGAUUCCGAUACCCAUGCCUUGCUCAAUGUGGGUCUCGAGCAGAUUGCCGAGUUUACUGGUGAUCCCAACGACCUUGGAUAUUGAUUCAUAGUGGUAUUUCAACUUAUCAAGUUGCAGGUGCAUAAACGUUUGUUAUGGACACAUCAUCCAUCCAGGUUGAUACCUUCUGUGUGCAAGAGGCCGUACAUGAGGCCCUGUAAUGGAUAUGUUGGUGGCAUACGGGCAAGGUUGAAUCCCUUUUAGAGGAAGAUUUAGAAAAAAUGAGACGGAGCUAUCAAAGCAGGAGAUGAUCAAAGAAAGCAAAAGAUAGAAGUUCCGCACAGAUUUACUCGAGAACACCUAGUCGUGGUAAUGAAUUCAUAGGGAAGUUGUAGAUCGGAAUGCAACAGGCUUUAUACAAACGAUUUUCUUGAUCUGGAAUUGAGAGCUUGUUGGUUUAUUUGAUGCGGUGAAGAAGCCCGUAAUUAGUUCAGAAAGAAGUUAGUUUGUGUGGUUGAACUUGACCCCACCUUCUGUUUAUUGUUGGAGCGUCGCGCACACGACCACGAUGCCGCCCAUGCAGGCUUCGUGUGGUAAACCCCUCCCGUCCUCUUAUAAUUUGUUCGGGGAUAGUUCUAAUUUCACACCAAGUAAGCCUAAAAAGAAGCAUAAAACUUGUUGCAAGAUGUAAUUUUCCCCAAUAACUUUACGUUGUAAGGCUUGAGCUUGUAUUCUUUUAAUUUAGAGGAAUGGUAAGCCGUUCUCCCAAAAGUGAUACUCUAUGUGAGGGUCGUCAGUAAAAUGCGUAUUGUAGCCUAUUAGAUCAGGCUCUCUAAUAAUAUCGUUGUUGAGCACCUUUUGAGUAUA